CGGACGGGGGAGUAAUGUCUGGGAAACUGCCCGAUGGAGGGGGAUAACUACUGGAAACGGUAGCUAAUACCGCAUAACGUCGCAAGACCAAAGAGGGGGACCUUGGGCCUCUUGCCAUCGGAUGUGCCCAGAUGGGAUUAGCUAGUAGGUGGGGUAACGGCUCACCUAGGCGACGAUCCCUAGCUGGUCUGAGAGGAUGACCAGCCACACUGGAACUGAGACACGGUCCAG
rnacentral:rRNA from 1 species